UGCGAAUAUGCAUUGGAGUGUGG
rnacentral:siRNA from 1 species